UUUGUACCGAUUAUUUGUGAC
rnacentral:piRNA from 1 species